rnacentral:rRNA from 1 species
GAUUAACGCUGGCGGCGUGCAUAACACAUUCAAGUCGAACGGUGAAGGGACUUCGGUCCCGGAUCAGUGGCGGACGGGUGAGUAACGCGUGAGCAACCUGCCCUUGUGUGGGGGAUAACGUUUGGAAACGGACGCUAAUACCGCAUAACCCAAUAGUACGGCAUCGUACAGUUGGCAAAGAUUUAUUGCACAAGGAUGGGCUCGCGUCUGAUUAGGUAGUUGGUGGGGUAACGGCCUACCAAGCCGACGAUCAGUAGCCGGACUGAGAGGUUGAACGGCCACAUUGGAACGGGGGUACGGUCCAGACUCCUACGGGAGGAAGCAGUGGGGAAUAUUGGGCAAUGGGGGAAACCCUGACCCAGCGACGCCGCGUGAGGGAAGAAGGUCUUCGGAUUGUAAACCUUAAACAACAGGGACGAAGAAAGUGACGGUACCUGUUAGGAAGCCACGGCUAACUACGUGCCAGCAGCCGCCGUAAGAC